rnacentral:lncRNA from 1 species
AUUUUUAUAUACAUGUAUCACAGAAAUUUUACAUUCCAUCUUCAAACCGCAGAAAUAGAUUUUUUUUACAAGCCAAAAAAUAACUGCCAUAACUUUUAUGAUUUCAUGCAAAAAAGAGGGAAGAGUAAGGGGCAAAUGGGAAUUGGUUGUUCAAGGUUAAGAGUCCAAUAAGAAGUAAAAAUGUUACAUUAAGGAAGCGAUUGCUUAACACGCUGCUUAAGGUGGUAGCCAGACAAAUCCUUAACUGCAGCAUUAAGGCCAUACCAAGUUUACACAUAUAUACAAAGGAAUUUCCAUAUAAAAGACAUACUGUCAUGUUUUCUCCUGGAAAAGGACGAGGAGUUUUGUGAGUAAUUCUGACCCAAUUUUCCAGGCCAAUUAAUUGUUUAAGAUGUCCCCAGGCUACUUAGAAAUCUCUUCUGCUUUGGCUAGCUGUCGGUUACUGCUGUGUGGGCUUGUGACUUCUGUAGUCUCUUACGCGGACGCAUGAAUCAUCUUGGACCUCUUCAAUCAUGGGUGAUCAAGCACUUUGUAGCUGAACUAACUCAGCAUAUUUUUUACCUCCCCUCCCAAAAGUACUGAAAUCACAGAAUUAUAACUUGCAGUUGUCUUAGUAGACUCCACAGCCAAUCCUGGCAUUGUGACCUAAAGAAUUACAUGGUACCCUUGUUCUGUUAUUAGGGGUUAAAAUAAUCUUUGAAUAGUUAACAGUAGAAGGAACCAAAGUGUGGGGUUUCAAGUCACAUCCCUUGGAGCUGUUGAAAGUUAAUAUUGAACUUUUGGCCCUCGUGUCAUGACACAUGUAAGUUGGCAGCUACAUUUGUGGAAAAUGUAAAGUCACUUGCAGGAGAAUUAGAACAUGGAAUUUGCUCUUCUGCCUAAACAUCGAAUCAGACAACUUUUAAGACAAAGGAUGGGGAAACUGAGGCUCUGAGGAAACGGGAAAAUGGCCAGAGGAAGGGACAGUGAAGAUCUUUUGCCAUAAUGUCACCCUAUAAACAUUUUGAAGGGAUUCCAUUGAUGUAAAGCAUAAAUACAUCCCUGUUGGGAAAGACAGGAGCAGUGUUUUCUGACUAUAAGGAGGGUUUGUUGGAGCUACCGGCGUGUGGAAGCAAUUUCAGGAACAACGUUGCCAGGAGGUUCUGGCAGAGAGAAUUCAAACAACUGCCAUAGGAAGUGGUUUCGAGCCUUCACAGGACACACAUGUUAAAGUGCCACAGUGGAACCUUGUCCUGGUGUGUGAUGGGAUUCUCAGGUCUCGAGAAGCCCAGUCUUAGAGGCAGGUCCAUCAGUGACUUUCACGGCAAAAAAAUUAAGACUGUAAUCUCCUUGAGGGCCAAGAUUCCUCUUUCUUAACCCCUCCCUACAUGCCCACUGGAAGGCCUGGGAUGGGUUUCCAAGCCUGGCACUGACAUGGAGAAAUAAUGAAACUUUUUAUGUCACACGGUAUACCCUUUCU